rnacentral:rRNA from 1 species
AUUGAACGCUGGCGGCAGGCCUAACACAUGCAAGUCGAGCGAGCGGCGGACGGGUGAGUAAUGUAUGGGGACUGCCCGAUCGAGGGGGAUAACUACUGGAACCGGUAGCUAAUACCGCAUACUAUCGGAUAACCCAUAUGGGAUUAGCUAGUGGGUGGGGUAAUGGCUCACCUAGGCGACGAUCCCUAGCGGGUCGGAGAGGAUGAUCAGCAACACUGGGACUGAGACACGGCCCAGACUCCUACGGAGGCAGCAGUGGGGAAUAUUGCACAAUGGGCGCAAGCCUGAUGCAGCAAUGCCGCGUGUAUGAAGAAGGCCCUAGGGUUGUAAAGUAAUUUCAGUCGGGAGGCGUUACCGACAGAAGAAGCACCGGCUAACUCCGUGCCAGCAGCCGCGGUAAUUC